GCGGACAUAGCUCAGUUGGGAGAGCGUCAGACUGAAGCGGACCUCGUGCCCGGAUAACUUCAUUCCAUCUAUCUGAAGGUCGUGUGUUCAAUCCACACUGGCCGCA
rfam:Colletotrichum fioriniae PJ7 Scaffold_29.1, whole genome shotgun sequence.